GAUGAAGAACGCAGCGAAAUGCGAUAAGUAAUGUGAAUUGCAGAAUUCAGUGAAUCAUCGAAUCUUUGAACGCACCUUGCGCUCCUUGGUAUUCCGAGGAGCAUGCCUGUUUGAGUGUCAUUAAAUUCUCAACCUUAUUGGCUUUUGCUGAUAAUGGCUUGGACUUGGGGGUCUUUUUGCUGGCUUUCAUUAGUCUGCUCCCCUUAAAUGUAUUAGCCGGUGCCCCGCAGUGGAACCGUCUAUUGGUGUGAUAAUUAUCUACGCCGUGGACGUCUGCUAUAAUGGGUUUGCGCUGCUUCUAACCGUCUCUCGGGACAACACAAAUGACAAUUUGACCUCAAAUCAGGUAGGACUACCCGCUCAACUUAAGCAUAUCAAUAAGCGGAGGA
rnacentral:misc_RNA from 1 species